rnacentral:rRNA from 1 species
AUUGAACGCUGGCGGAAUGCUUUACACAUGCAAGUCGAACGGCAGCACGGGAGCUUGCUCCUGGUGGCGAGUGGCGAAUGGGUGAGUAACAUAUCGGAACGUAUCCAAUAAUGGGGGAUAACUAAGCGAAAGCUUGGCUAAUACCGCAUACGCCCUGAGGGGGAAAGCUAGGGAUCUUCGGACCUGGCGUUAAUGGAGCGGCCGAUAUCUGAUUAGCUAGUUGGUGAGGUAAAGGCUCACCAAGGCGACGAUCAGUAGCUGGUCUGAGAGGACGACCAGCCACACUGGAACUGAGACACGGUCCAGACUCCUACGGGAGGCAGCAGUGGGGAAUUUUGGACAAUGGGCGCAAGCCUGAUCCAGCCAUUCCGCGUGAGUGAAGAAGGCCUUCGGGUUGUAAAGCUCUUUCGCAAGGGAAGAAAGAUUACGCUCUAACAUAGCGUGAUUAUGACGGUACCUUGAUAAGAAGCACCGGCUAACUACGUGCCAGCAGCCGCGGUAA